AGUGAACGCUGGCGGCAUGCCUAACACAUGCAAGUCGAACGACAGCACCCUAAGCUCUUACUCGUACGUCUGGUGACUGACGGAUGAGUGAGACGUAGGUCAGCAUCUACUUUGACGUGGAUAAUAUCCUGGAGCAACUGCUACUAAUACCUCGUACGACGUACGGCUGAAAUCAAGGAAUCUUAGAACCUUACGCUUUUGAAGGUGGCUGUGCCGGUGUAGCAUUAGCUAGUUGGAGGGGUAAAGGCUCACCAAGGCGACGAUCCGUAGCCGGUCUGAGAGGAUGAUCAGCCACACUGGAACUGAGACACGGUCCAGACUCCUACGGGAGGCAGCAGUGGGGAAUAUUGCACAAUGGGCGCAAGCCUGACGGAGCCAUACCGCGUGGGUGAAGAAGGCCUUCGGGUUGUAAAGCCCUUUUGUUGGGAAAGAAAAGCAGCAGGUUAAUACCCCGGUGUUCUGACGGUACCCAAAGAAUAAGCAACGGCUAACUUCGUG
rnacentral:rRNA from 1 species